GAUGAACGCUGGCGGCGUGCCUAAUACAUGCAAGUCGAGCGGUGUUAUUGAAGCUUGCUUUAAUAACAUAGCGGCGAACGGGUGAGUAACACGUGGGCAACCUGCCCCCAAGACAGGGAUAACUUCGGGAAACCGGAGCUAAUACCAGAUAAUCUUAUUCCUUGCAUGAGGAAGAAGUAAAAGGCUUCGGCCGUUUGGGGAUGGGCCCGCGACGCAUUAGCUAGUUGGUGUGGUAACGGCAUACCAAGGCGACGAUGCGUAGCCGACCUGAGAGGGU
rnacentral:rRNA from 1 species